GCGUGUCGUCAGCUCGUGUCGUGAGAUGUUGGGUUAAGUCCCGCAACGAGCGCAACCCCCUAUCUCUAGUUGCCAGCGAUUCGGUCGGGGACUCUAGAGAUACUGCCCCGGUUAACGGGGAGGAAGGUGGGGAUGACGUCAAGUCCUCAUGGCCCUUAUGCCCAGGGCUACACACGUGCUACAAUGGGCGGUACAAAGGGUAGCGAUGCCGCGAGGCGAAGCCAAUCCCAAAAAGCCGUCCUCAGUUCGGAUUGGAGUCUGCAACUCGACUCCAUGAAGCCGGAAUCGCUAGUAAUCGCGGAUCAGCAUGCCGCGGUGAAUACGUUCCCGGGCCUU
rnacentral:rRNA from 1 species